rnacentral:rRNA from 1 species
GCUGGAUUCGCUAGUAAUCGCGCAUCAGCCAUGGCGCGGUGAAUACGUUCCCGGGCCUUGUACACACCGCCCGUCAAGCCAUGGAAGCCGGGGGCGCUUGAAGUGCGUUGCCGCAAGGCGCGCCCUAGAGCGAAACCGGUGACUGGGGCUAAGUCGUAACAAGGUAGC